ACAGCUUUUAGAUAAAAAUUGAGAGAAUUGAAAAGUAAAAGUCAUUGAAUAUCUUGGAAUUUAUAUUGAUAAGUUAAAAUUUGAGGAGCACGUUGAAUAUACAGUUAAUAAGAUUGCGAAAAAAAUUGGCCUCGUGAAAAGAUCAUGCAAGUACAUAGAAAAGAGCGACACAAAAGUUGAGAAAAGAAGUACAAAAAAUGCAAAACAGAGCCAUGCGAUUCAUUUUGAAUAAGCGUUAUGAUACAUCCAUACAAGAAAUGAUUAGACUUGAAUUUUAGAACUUUCAUGGAAAGUAAUAAUUUUAGACUACCACUGUUUAGAACAGAAGUUGAUAAGAAAAAUAUAUUUUAUAAAUGAUUAAAAUGUUUUAAAGAGCUACCAACUCAAAUAAAAAAUUCUGUUAACAUGAGCACUUUCAA